GGGGGUAUAGCGUAGUGGCAGCGCGUCAGUUUUCGGAUUAAGAAAAUCACUGAAGGCCGUAGGUUCGAUCCCUACUAUCCUCG